UCUCUGGUGGUCUAGUGGCUAAGACUCCACAUUCUCAAUGCAGUGGGCCCAGGUUCAAUCCCUGGUCAGGGAA
rnacentral:tRNA from 1 species